UUACUGUUCACAACGAACGAAAGGUGAAGAAACUUGACAUUUGUUUCCGCUGAUUUGCACCGAAAGAAAAGCGAAUAAAAGCGGGAGAACCCGCGUGGCCAUUCCUCGCGAAGUUGUGAAGAAAAGAGAUGAAAGCCACGUAAGAAAUGAGAAAACCCGAUAAUACCCCUGCCUAAAAGCUGAAAAGAGAUGAAGCUUUGCCAUCCUCAUGCAUGCAGAGACUGUGCCAUGCAGCAGAGGAAUCUCUGUCAUGGUUCACGGGCCUUUGUCCUUCAUUUGAAUGGCACAAUGACGCGUUUGAAAUGAGGCUGAAUGGGUCUCACUAGUCACGCGUUUAUAAGAGACUUGGAAGCUCUGUGUGUGUUGUGUGCUCGUGCGAGGGUGGUUGUUGCUGUAGUGAUUCUCGACGGGACAGCCAUUGUAGGUAUGACAUCCGGUUCAAGAGAAAGAAGUUCAAGAAAAAUCCAUCUACUUUAUACGUUAUCGAUGUGGGAUGUUGGCGCAAUGGUACUCAUGUUGUACUGUUCAAUUGACUAUUCCAAAGUCUCCUGAAUUUUGGAGUCAAAAUUUGGGCACGCCAACGUUGCUGGCAAAAAGUGUUGAACAGAAGGAAGUUUCAUGGUGGAGUUGAUCAUAUGCUACGCCAACACUUGUAUGCUUCCAAAUCCAAUAAUUUGGCCAAGAUACAUCAAUAUAAUAAAUAGUCUUAUUAUUUAACAGGAGGAUUUUCUCUCCACAAGCAAGCAUGAAGCAUUUCCCCUUUAAAUUAUGAGUAUAUGAAUGUUGAAGGCUUGAAGCACGUAAACCCGCACGCUGCUUCAAAUAUUCAUUGAUUUAUUUUGAGUAAAUUAUGCAACAUAAUGCUUAGAGUGUAAGAAGU